rnacentral:rRNA from 1 species
UACGGGGGGGAGCAAGCGUUGUUCGGAUUUACUGGGCGUAAAGGGCGCGUAGGCGGUCAGCACAAGUCAGUUGUGAAAUCUCCGGGCUUAACUCGGAAAGGUCAACUGAUACUGUGCGACUAGAGUGCGGAAGGGGCAACUGGAAUUCUCGGUGUAGCGGUGAAAUGCGUAGAUAUCGAGAGGAACACCUGCGGCGAAGGCGGUUUCCUGGACAGUUACUGACGCUCAGGCACGAAAGCAUGGGGAGCAAAAGGG